rnacentral:rRNA from 1 species
AUCCUCUGGGGGCGAGGGGGGGGGGAAUUUUUUCCAAAAAACAGCAGUGGGGAAUCUUAGACAAUGGGCGCAAGCCUGAUCUAGCCAUGCCGUGUGAGUGAUGAAGGCCUUAGGGUAGUAAAGCUCUUUCGCCUGUGAAGAUAAUGACUGUACCAGGUAAAGAAACCCCGGCUAAUUCCGUGCCAGCAGCCGCGGUAAUACGGAGGGGGUAAGCGUUGUUGGGAAUUACUGGGCGUAAAGCGCGCGUAGGGGGACAUUUAAGUCAGAGGUGAAAUCCCAGGGCUCAACCCGGGAACUGCCUUUGAUACUGGGUGUCUUGAGUUCGAGAGAGGUGAGUGGAAUUCCGAGUGUAGAGGUGAAAUUCGUAGAUAUUGGGAGGAACACCAGUGGGGAAGGCGGCUCCCUGGCUCGAUACUGACGCUGAGGUGCGAAAGUGUGGGGAGCAAACAGGAUUAGAUACCCUGGUAGUCCACACCGUAAACGAUGAAUGCCAGUCGUCGGGUAGUAUACUAUUCGGUGACGCAG